rnacentral:tRNA from 1 species
UCGAGGGUCGUGGAAGCGCAGGCCUGAGGCGCCUGUCCCGUAGGGGUUCGUGGGUUCGAAUCCCACCUCCCGCACCA